rnacentral:antisense_RNA from 1 species
UGCAAAAAAUCUAUUUAUGCUAAUCAAAAGGAUCCUGGUUAAUAUGGCUAAGAAUAGGUGACAAAGGAAGAAACUGCGCAGAAGAAUUUUGUAUCACCAGCCAAAUUAAUAUUAAGCUGAUUUACAUAAAUGAGUAAAAAAUGGUGCGUCCGAGUGGACUCGAACCACCGACCCCCACCA